rnacentral:rRNA from 1 species
UACGUAGGGGGCGAGCGUUGUCCGGAAUCAUUGGGCGGAAAGAGCGUGUAGGCGGCUUGGCAAGUCUGACGUGAAAGCCCGCGGCUCAACCGCGGAUUGUCGUUGGAAACUGCCUCGCUAGAGUCCGGAAGAGGAGAGCGGAAUUCCUGGUGUAGCGGUGGAAUGCGCAGAUAUCAGGAAGAACACCCGUGGCGAAGGCGGCUCUCUGGGACGGUACUGACGCUGAGACGCGAAAGCGUGGGGAGCGAACAGG